ensembl:snRNA U6 U6 spliceosomal RNA
GCUCACUUUGGCAGCAUAUACUAAAAUUGGAAUGCUACAGAGAAGAUUAGCAUGCUCCUACACAAGGAUGACAUGCAAAUUUGUGAGGCGUUUCAUAUUAAA